rnacentral:rRNA from 1 species
CCAGCAGCCGCGGUAAUUCCAGCUCCAAUAGCGUAUAUUAAAGUUGUUGCGGUUAAAAAGCUCGUAGUUGGAUUUCUGCAUGGAAGGAGCGGUCCACCCUUUGGGUGAGUUACUGCUACCUUUUGUGCAUCUUUCUGAGAAGGCGUUCUUCACUUGAUUGUGAGGCCGCAUGACUCAGAACAUUUACUUUGAGGAAAUGAGAGUGUUUCAAGCAGGCAAAUGCCUUGAAUACGUUAGCAUGGAAUAAUAGCAUCGGACCAUCGUCUAGCUGUUGGUGUCUAGGCGAAGGUAAAGGUGAAUAGGGAUUGUUGGGGGCAUUCGUAUUUAACUGUCAGAGGUGAAAUUCUUGGAUUUGUUGAAGACGGACUACUGCGAAAGCAUCUGCCAAAGAUGUUCUCAUUGAUCAAGAACGAAAGUUAGGUGAUCGAAGACGAUCAGAUACCGUCCUAGUCUUAACCAUAAACUAUGCCGACUGGAGAUAGGAAGCGUUUAUAUUACGACUCUUUCUGCAUCUUGAGAGAAAUCAAAGUCUUUGGGUUCCGGGGGGAGUAUGGUCGCAAGGCUGAAACUUAAAGGAAUUGACGGAAGGGCACCACCAGGAGUGGAGCCUGCGGCUUAAUUUGACUCAACACGGGGAAACUUACCAGGUCCGGACAUAGGUAGGAUUGACAGACUGAGAGCUCUUUCUUGAUUCUAUGGGUGGUGGUGCAUGGCCGUUCUUAGUUGGUGGAGUGACUUGUCUGGUUAAUUCCGUUAACGAACGAGACCUUAACCUGCUAAAUAGGUACGGUAACCUCUUGGUUGCCGGUCACCUUCUUAGAGGGACGUCGCGUGUCUAACGCGAGGAAGUGUGAGGCAAUAACAGGUCUGUGAUGCCCAUGGGCGAAUCGCGCGGCUAAAUUCCAAUUCGCCUAUGAGUGAGUCGUAUAACAUCACUUGCCGGUCGAUUACCAACGUCUUGAAC